rnacentral:lncRNA from 1 species
GCCUGGCAGAUACCACAAGAAAAGAAAAAAAAAAAAAAAUUACCAGUUGAAGAAAACAGCAAAAAAGAUUGAACAAAAAAAGCACCUUUGCACAAAAGCCUUGCCUAGUUCUGAGAACAGUACUUUUUUGCUUUUUUGUAACUUGACUGUAAAGGAAAUUUUGACAGAACUGUCCCAAAGGAAUAGGUAAUGAGAACCCUGUUAUUUUACCUUCUCUACUGCCCAGUUUUUUAGGUAAAUUUUGCAAGAUAGUCUUAUCUUUAAUUGCCUAGGCCUAUACUGCUGGGUGUUUGAGAAUGAAAAUAUUUGAUGAAAAGACUUAAAAUAAAUGCUUCAAAAAAGCAGCCACUCUUACUGAGUUAUUCUAUCUAAGGCAAAAACAAAAAAGAAACGACAUUUCUAUCCUUGGAGGUCCCCGCUAGACUCAAGGGCCAAGAAUUUAAUGAAAAAGAAGACUUUAGGGAAAAUGCCCGAUUUCUUCUUCUGUGUUUUGAGAAAAUUUAGCAGGCAUGCUUCUCUUCUGUUGUAUUUCUGAUAAGGCAGUUAUAUCUGUUUUUCCUUAGUUGAGAAGGCAGCAUUGUAUAUAAUUCGGUUUUUGUCUUCUGACUAAAUUGUAGCUACUCAGGGAAACUUGAAGCUGGAAUAUGGAAUAUACCUAACUGUAUCCCUUCCAUUGCAGCUGCAUUUCUGCAUUUUCCAACAGUAGGACAAUUAAUAAUUUGAGGAAUUUCUUUUAAUUAUAAUCCUAAGCUCCCUGGGUGUUCUGUGAGUGAUGGAUGCUUCUGAGGAUAAGGAGUGUUAAAAAUAUAAUUGCUAUAUCUAUGAAAGAAUAACUUCUUACUCCAUGAUAUUUAAAAUGUAUCCCAUGUAUAGCUGCAAGUAAGAAACUCCUUUUGAGAAGUUUCAUUAUAGAAGCUUCAGUUAUGCCUAACAUUGAGUUUUCAAAUAUAAAUGUUGCAUUUGGGGAUCCAAAUAAUAACCGGAAAUUCCUAGGUAAAAAGAUAGUCAUAACUAAGUAGAGAUUUUGAAGUGAAAUAUCUUCUCCCUCAUCUUUAAUUCUCACCUAUCUAUGUGAUAAUGGCUUAUUUUACUUUUAAAAUACAAGCAAUCCUCAUUAUUUAUAGUUUCAUGUUUAUAAAUUCACCUACUCAUUAAAAUUUAUUUGUAAAAUGCUCAUGGUGCUUUUGCUGUUAUUAGCAGACAGGUGCCUGCAUGCUCAGAGCAGCAAAAAAAUUCGAGCCCAGGGCAGUAUACACGUUCCCAGGAGGGAUCAAACCAAGUGAUACGGCCUUCUUGUCUCAGCUCUCCUGUUACAAACCCAUGUCCUUCUUGUCUGUUUAGUGUCAUAUUUCUCUCAUUUUGUUGAUGAUUUCUCUGUUUAAGAUGGUCCCAAGCACUCAGUUUGAGGAGGCUAUGAUGUCCUCACAGGGAAAGUGUGUGUUGGGUAAGCUUCAUUCCAGUAUGAGGUACAGUGCUAUUAACCAUGAGUUUGAGUCAAUGAAUCAACAAUAUAAAGUAAAUAAGAUGUCUUGAAACAGACACACACAAAGGACAUGAUGAUGUCUUGAUUGGUUGAUGAAAUUGGAUGUUGUGCUCUGAAUUCAGCUCUGAAUUUCCUUUCCUGAUGGCUUUAUAGAACAAAACUACCAUGAAUAAUGAGAACUGACUGUACUACGCCAGCCUGUGACACAUGGUUUUAUGUGCAUGUGAUAGUUUAAAUCAGGGGUCCUCAAAUUGAGCCACGGAUCGGCUUUCUGCCCUUAUUCAUUUCAAGUGCCAUGAGUACCGCUCCACCGCAACAUUUUAGUUCAUAUCCAGUCAAAAUAAGAAAAGUGAAUUUCAGAGGUUACACUUUUAAGGCAUGUUAAAGUGUGAAUUAUUUUGUUAUUGAAUUAGGUGGCAAAACAUUGUAUUUAUUAUGCAGUGACAUUCUCACUGUGUUAUAAAAGAACUCAAUUAUGUUGACAUUACCACAGGUGUUCCCAACUAGCAGGAAAGCAAUGGGCAGAAAAAUUUGAGAAUUUAAUCUGCAAUAUUUCAUUACCACAGAAUGGAUUUGAAAGAAAAACCUCAGCUAAAGGAAAAUUCUGUUUCCUCUGUACACUACCCACAGAACACUUCUGGCCACCAAAUAUGUGUAUGUUUUCCGCAUACCAAGCAAUUCUCCAGUUCUCUGCAGACACCAAUUGCAUGUCCUACAGUUCAGUUCAGUUCUGACACUGCCUGGAGUUGCUACUUGAAAUCUGGCUUUGCCUCUUGGUGGGUGUCCAGCCUAAAGACAAGCCAAAUGAAAUAAGCCAAAGAUGAGUAGAAAGCAUUUACUGCUUGCAGAAAGUACAGAUAACAUCAGGAUUUUCCCAAAGCACUGUCUCCCCAGCUGCAAAAUUGGGAAAUUUUUAAGCUAAGGGUACACGCACAUUCAUGAAGAGGCUUGGGUGGUGUAUGCAUAUUCACAGAGGGUCUUGAGCUGAGGAGAAUUUAGCAUACAAACAGGGCAGAGGUUGAGAGAUUUCAAACCUUAGUUGAUUCAAGUCACCAGGGUCAGGAGGGGUCAACAUUCCUUAGGAUCUGAUUUAACUGGAAUCUCUGGUAGUCACUAUCUUCCACCUGGGUAGGGGCCAUAGUUCCAUCAGAGCUCAAGAUAUCGGUCAGAUUGUUAUAUAUAUCCCUUGAGGAGGAAGGAACUAGGAUUCUGUUUUAUCAAUGAACUAUUGUCUCUUGACUGUUUUUCCUUUGUUCCUGCAUUAUGACAGUUCAUUACUGGGACCUGCUCAAGGGCAAGUAUGGUAGCCAGGCUUAGAUCACAAAGUGGCUUCGGCUUGCUUAUGUAAAGAAAGCCAUGUUGGAGUUCCCAUCGUGGCUCAAUGGUUAGUGAACCUGACUAGGAUCCAUGAGGACACAGGUUCGAUCCCUGGUCUUGCUUAGUGGGUUAAGGAUCCGGCACUGCUGUGAGCGGUGUGUAGGUCAGACCCGGCUCGGAUUCUGAGGUGCUGUGGCUGUGGUGUAGACCAGGAGCUGCAGCUCCAAUUCGACUCCUAGCCUGGGAACCUCCAUAUGCUGUGGGUGCGGCCCU